UACGUAGGGGGCAAGCGUUGUCCGGAAUUAUUGGGCGUAAAGCGCGUGUAGGCGGUUCGUUAAGUCUGCUGUGAAAGUCCAGGGCUCAACCCUGGGAUGCCGGUGGAUACUGUCGGGCUUGAGUACGGAAGAGGCGAGUGGAAUUCCUGGUGUAGCGGUGAAAUGCGCAGAUAUCAGGAGGAACACCAAUUGCGAAGGCAGCUCGCUGGGACGUUACUGACGCUGAGACGCGAAAGCGUGGGGAGCAAACAGG
rnacentral:rRNA from 1 species